ensembl:miRNA mir-37 miscRNA
UUCUAGAAACCCUUGGACCAGUGUGGGUGUCCGUUGCGGUGCUACAUUCUCUAAUCUGUAUCACCGGGUGAACACUUGCAGUGGUCCUCGUGGUUUCU